rnacentral:rRNA from 1 species
UGGUGGAGUGAUUUGUCUGGUUAAUUCCGUUAACGAACGAGACCUCGACCUGCUAACUAGGUUGGCGAACACCUCGGUGUUCGACCAACACUUCUUAGAGGGACUAUCGGUGUUCUAGCCGAUGGAAGUUCGAGGCAAUAACA